rnacentral:rRNA from 1 species
GAUGAACGCUGGCGGCGUGCCUAAUACAUGCAAGUCGAGCGAACGGACGAGAAGCUUUCUUUUCUGAUGUUAGCGGCUGACGGGUGAGUAACACGUGGAUAACCUACUUAUAAUACUGGGAUAACUUCGGGAAACCGGAGCUAAUACCGGAUAAUAUUUUGAACCGCAUGGUUCAAAAGUGAAAGACGGUCUUGCUGUCACUUAUAGCUGGAUCCGCGCUGCAUUAGCUAGUUGGUAAGGUAACGGCUUACCAAGGCAACGAUGCAUAGCCGACCUGAGAGGGUGAUCGGCCACACUGGAACUGAGACACGGUCCAGACUCCUACGGGAGGCAGCAGUAGGGAAUCUUCCGCAAUGGGCGAAAGCCUGACGGAGCAAAGCCGCGUGAGUGAUGAAGGUCUUCGGAUCGUAAAACUCUGUUAUUAGGGAAGAACAUAUGUGGAAGUAACUGUGCACAUCUUGACGGUACCUAAUCAGAAAGCCACGGCUAACUACGUG